rnacentral:lncRNA from 1 species
CCAAAACAGUUGAAAACAUUGAGAAGAAGGUUGAAGCACUCAUCGAGCCGCCGCCACCAGAGAGUAUGAUGAACCUUUCUGCGAUUCAGAACCUGCUUCCACCGAAUAUCGCGGUUCCAUCAGGAUGGAAACAUGCUUCCACCGAAUAUCACGGUUCCAUCAGGAUGGAAACCAGGAAUGCCAGUGGAGUUGCCGCCUGCGCCUAGAGCCCUGGAGCAGCAACAGAUGCGGCCUCCUCCGGGACUUCACAGACCCCC